UACGGGGGGAGCAAGCGUUGUUCGGAUUUACUGGGCGUAAAGGGCGCGUAGGCGGGCUCGCCAGUCUGUGGUGAAAGCCCCCGGCUUAACCGGGGAAGUGCCGUGGAUACUGCGAGUCUUGAGGAGGGUAGGGGCAUCUGGAACGCUGGGUGGAGCGGUGAAAUGCGUUGAUAUCCAGCGGAACUCCGGUGGCGAAGGCGGCUCACUGGACCGGUACUGACGCUGAUGCGCGAAAGCGUGGGGAGCAAACGGG
rnacentral:rRNA from 1 species